rnacentral:rRNA from 1 species
GACGUAGGGCGCGAGCGUUGUCCGGAUUUAUUGGGCGUAAAGAGCUCGUAGGCGGCUUGUCGCGUCGACUGUGAAAUCCCGCAGCUUAACCCCGGGUCUGCAUUCGAUACGGGCUAGCUAGAGUGUGGUAGGGGAGAUCGGAAUUCCUGGUGUAGCGGUGAAAUGCGCAGAUAUCAGGAGGAACACCAAUGGCGAAGGCAGCACUCUGGGACGUGACUGACGCUGAGACGCGAAAGCGUGGGGAGCGAACAGG